AGUGAACGCUGGCGGUAGGCCUAACACAUGCAAGUCGAACGGCAGCACAGUAAGAGCUUGCUCUUACGGGUGGCGAGUGGCGGACGGGCGAGGAAUACAUCGGAAUCUACUUUUUCGUGGGGGAUAACGUAGGGAAACUUACGCUAAUACCGCAUACGACCUACGGGUGAAAGCAGGGGAUCUUCGGACCUUGCGCGAUUGAAUGAGCCGAUGCCGGAUUAGCUAGUUGGCGGGGUAAAGGCCCACCAAGGCGACGAUCCGUAGCUGGUCUGAGAGGAUGAUCAGCCACACUGGAACUGAGACACGGUCCAGACUCCUACGGGAGGCAGCAGUGGGGAAUAUUGGACAAUGGGCGCAAGCCUGAUCCAGCCAUACCGCGUGGGUGAAGAAGGCCUUCGGGUUGUAAAGCCCUUUUGUUGGGAAAGAAAAGCAGCAGGUUAAUACCCCGCUGUUCUGACGGUACCCAAAGAAUAAGCACCGGCUAACUUCGUG
rnacentral:rRNA from 1 species